UAAAUUCUGGUUUUUAAAUAACUUCAAGUCUCCAAAGCUUUCAUCCUUAGAGUUUUUAGGAUUCAAAAUCCCAUUUUCAAUAAAAUUUGGUUGCCAUUUUCUUUCCGGCAAGCCACUUUCGAAUUUUCUUUGAUUUUCAAAAUGUUUUAAAAUAAGUGUGAAUUAAAUUCCGUAAUUCCAAGUGAUGGAAUUUAUGGAAUUGAUUCAUGCAAAAUAAAAGGGCUUUGGUGGGGCCCAACAUCAAAUAAAUUUUCAUCAAAAUAAAAUUGAGUGAAAUGACACAUGUGCUAUUGAUGAUUUUGUAUUCAGUUUAGUGACAUGUAUGUUAUAUCUUGUGAUCAUUGUUUUGUACUAAUCUCAUUUUCAUGAUAGCGCGUUGUUGUUUGCUGCUAAGGUACGCAUUUUCUCUCACUUUGUCCAUCUCUCAUGCAUGCUUUAAUUCUCGAUGUGUAAUCAUGUUGAUAUUCAUUGAUUUUCCUAUUGAUCGCCACGUCAGCUUCAUCUCAUUAGUAGAGACCCGACUUUAGGGGCUUAGAGGGGUGCUACGGUCUUUACCGUACCUUCCCGAUAAGUAACCUGACCCCCGAACCCGAUCCGGUUUUUCGUAGAUCACCUUUUCCAAAAUAAGGAGUCACACUUAGGGUUUUUCUUUCUUAUUUUGUUUACCCUUUAAAAAUAAAACAAAAAUAAGUGGCGACUCCAAGUCAUUUUUCUUAAUCAAUAAAAAUCAUUUUUCAAAUAAAAAUCGAGCUCGCC
rnacentral:lncRNA from 1 species